ACUUAGAGUUCCCCGGCCUGACCCCCCCCCCCUCCCAACACUCGAGCCAAGGAAGAAGAGGAAGAGGAGCAGGAGCAGCAGAAAAAGAGGAGAGAAAAGGAGAACUCUACAUUAUGGUGCCUGAAAUUCCCAAAUUCCCAAGCUGCACUCAGAAACCGGCACUGUGAGUUUCAAAAUAACAAAAAAGGAAAAGGGCUCGAAGCAGAUGUUUGGUCACCCUGCAUGGAAGUAAAGGAUAAGUUUAGUGGGCUGUCUUUUCUGUUCUUCAAUUAUCAAAGUCUAAUAAGUCAUUUUUGGAGAGAGGGGGAAAGAAGACCAUCAAGACAUAUGUGGCUUGCUAAAAGAGACUGCGGAAUUGGAGAGUGGAUUGAAUUUACUCCAGACAAGUAUGAGAUACAUCAAUGAAUAGUGACAAGCAAGUGCGCCUGAUGCUGGUUCAUUGGCUAUUACCAAUGCAUGAGGAUACAGUAGGAGAGAAUUCUCAGAUACGUUGCAUUCAAGUAUUUGCAUCUGCAGAUUUCCUCGUGUUAACCCUAUAGUAAACGUUUCUAGCUAUGGGAUGGAAAAGAAGACAAAAUAUAUAUUGAUUUUCCGCCCCGACCUGAAAGGGAUCUUUUGAAGACCCUGAUCUGGAGUUACACGCUUUUCUUUGCGGAAAUGGGACCUGCUCUCAGGGCCUCAUGACUGGCCACUUUUUGAUUUGCCAAGGACACAGCCUGGAAGACUAGCGAGCCUUCAAGGUGCUGGAUUUUCGUGGCUCCAGAAGUGGGUGGAGUUGAGGCCAGUGCCGUGGGAGUACACAGAAGAUCAAAAGCAGCGAGCUGGCUGCUGGCUAUGUGCCUGAAGACCAGAGUUCUUUGAGCACAGAGCUCGGAAAAAGUGACACAACAGACCUUUAACACCAUAAAUCAACAGGUUGUUUUGUUAAGUCUUCCCUCUCGCUGUGAAACGGGGACACUUCUUUUUCCCUUAUCAGGGAAAGAGCAAGCCCGUGGUAUGUCAAAUUACCGGGUGAACGAGUAGUCUUUGGGGUAGUGCAAGUCUGGUCUUUAUUGA